GACGAACCGUGCGAACGUUGUUCGGAUUCACUGGGCUUAAAGGGCGCGUAGGCGGGUCAGCAAGUCCGGGGUGAAAGCUUUCGGCUCAACCGGAAAAGGGCCUUGGAUACUGCUGGUCUGGAGGAAGGUAGGGGCGUGUGGAACUUCCGGUGGAGCGGUGAAAUGCGCAGAUAUCGGGAGGAACACCGGUGGCGAAGGCGGUUCUCUGGGCCUGACCUGACGCUGAGGAGCGAAAGCGUGGGGAGCGAACAGG
rnacentral:rRNA from 1 species